AUUGAACGCUGGCGGCACGCCUAACACAUGCAAGUCGAGCGGCAGCGAGACUAGUAGCAAUACUAGUUGUCGGCGAGCGGCGGACGGGUGAGUAACACGUAGGAAUCUGCCCUUAAGCGGUGGAUAACCAAGGGAAACUUUGGCUAAUACCGCAUAAUCUCUAGAUAGCAAAGCUGCCCGCAAAGGUGGCACUUCAGGAGGCGCCUGAGUCCGAUUAGCUCGUUGGUGGGGUAAUGGCCUACCAAGGCGAUGAUCGGUAACUGGUCUGAGAGGAAGACCAGUCACACUGGGACUGAGACACGGCCCAGACUCCUACGGGAGGCAGCAGUGGGGAAUAUUGGACAAUGGGGGCAACCCUGAUCCAGCGAUGCCGCGUGAGUGAAGAAGGCCUUCGGGUCGUAAAGCUCUUUAGGUUGGGAAGAAGGGUAUUGGCUGAAUAAUCCAGUACUUUGACGGUACCGACAGAAUAAGCACCGGCAAACUCUGUGCCAGCCGCCGCAGUAACAC
rnacentral:rRNA from 1 species